rnacentral:tRNA from 1 species
GGAGCUGUGGCGCAAUGGAUAGCGCAUCAGACUUCGGAUUUGAGGAUUGCAGGUUCGAGUCCUGUCAGCUUCG